GAAUUUUGGACAAUGGGGGCAACCCUGAUCCAGCCAUCCCGCGUGUGCGAUGAAGGCCUUCGGGUUGUAAAGCACUUUUGGCAGGGAAGAAAGGGCUCUGGCUAAUACCUGGAGCUGCUGACGGUACCUGCAGAAUAAGCACCGGCUAACCCCGUGCCAGCAGCCGCGGUACUACGUAGGGUGCAAGCGUUAAUCGGAAUUACUGGGCGUAAAGCGUGCGCAGGCGGUUCGGCAAGAAGGAUGUGAAAUCCCAGGGCUUAACCUUGGAACUGCAUUCUUAACUGCCGGGCUAGAGUAUGUCAGAGGGGGGUAGAAUUCCGCGUGUAGCAGUGAAAUGCGUAGAUAUACGGAUGAAUACCUAUGUCGAAUGCAUCCCCCUGGGAUAAUACUGACGCUCAUGCACGAAAGCGUGGGGAGCAAAC
rnacentral:rRNA from 1 species